rnacentral:rRNA from 1 species
AUACGUAGGGAGCGAGCGUUGUCCGGAAUUACUGGGUGUAAAGGGUGCGUAGGCGGGACUGCAAGUCAGAUGUGAAAUGCCGGGGCUCAACCCCGGAGCUGCAUUUGAAACUGUGGUUCUUGAGUGAGGUAGAGGUAAGCGGAAUUCCUAGUGUAGCGGUGAAACGCGUAGAUAUUAGGAGGAACAUCGGUGGCGAAGGCGGCUUACUGGGCCUUUACUGACGCUGAGGCACGAAAGCGUGGGGAGCAAACAGGAUUAGAUACCCUGGUAGUCCACGUUGUAAACGAUGAUGACUAGGUGUGGGGGGACUGAACCCUUCCGUGCCGCAGUUAACACAAUAAGUCAUCCACCUGGGGAGUACGGCCGCAAGGUUGAAACUCAAAUGAAUUGACGGGG